GAGUUUGAUCAUGGCUCAGGAUGAACGCUGGCGGCGUGCCUAAUACAUGCAAGUCGAGCGAACAGACGAGGAGCUUGCUCCUCUGACGUUAGCGGCGGACGGGUGAGUAACACGUGGAUAACCUACCUAUAAGACUGGGAUAACUUCGGGAAACCGGAGCUAAUACCGAAUAAUAUAUUGAACCGCAUGGUUCAAUAGUGAAAAACGGUUUUGCUGUCACUUAUAGAUGGAUCCGCGCCGCAUUAGCUAGUUGGUAGGGUAACGGCUUACCAAGGCGACGAUGCGUAGCCGACCUGAGAGGGUGAUCGGCCACACUGGAACUGAGACACGGUCCAGACUCCUACGGGAGGCAGCAGUAGGGAAUCUUCCGCAAUGGGCGAAAGCCUGACGGAGCAACACCGCGUGAGUGAUGAAGGUCUUCGGAUCGUAAAACUCUGUUAUUAGGGAAGAACAAAUGUGUAAGUAACUAUGCACGUCUUGACGGUACCUAAUCAGAAAGCCACGGCUAACUACGUGCCAG
rnacentral:rRNA from 1 species